rnacentral:ncRNA from 1 species
CAAAAGCUUGGUCCUCGCUUUCCUAUCAGCUGCGACUAAUAUUACACAUGCAAGUAUCCGCACACCAGUGAGAAUGCCCUAACAGUCAACUGAAUGAAGACAAGGAGCAGGCAUCAGGCACAUAAGUUAUUACUUACUAGCCCACGACACCUUGCUAAUGCCACACCCCCACGGGUAUACAGCAGUGAUUUAUUUUAAGCUAUGAGUGUAAACUUGACUUAGAUAAAGCCAACAAGGCCGGUCAAUCUCGUGCCAGCCACCGCGGUUACACGGAAGGCCUAAGUUGAUAGAUUUCGGCGUAAAGAGUGGUUAAGAAUUUUAUAAAAGUAAAGUAGAACCCUUUCAAAGCAGUUAUACGCAUUUGAAUUGUGAACCCCAUCAACGAAAGUGGCUUUAUACCUCUGAUUCCACGAAAGCUAAGAAACAAACUGGGAUUAGAUACCCCACUAUGCUUAGCCUCAAACAUUGAUAGUACACCACAUAUACUAUCCGCCCGGUUACUACGAGCAUUAGCUUAAAACCCAAAGGAUUUGGCGGUGCUUUAUACCCCCCUAGAGGAGCCUGUCCUAAAAUCGAUAACCCUCGUUUAACCUCACCCCUUCUAGUUCAUUUUCCGCCUGUAUACCUCCGUCGUAAGCUUACCCUGUGAAGGACUAAUAGUAAGCUCAACUGGUAACGCCCAAAACGUCAGGUCAAGGUGCAGCGUAUGAAGGGGGCAGAGAUGGGCUACAUUUUCUAUUAUAGAACAUACGAAUAACUCAUUGAAACAUGCUGUUUGAAGGAGGAUUUAGCAGUAAGUAAAAACUAGAGAGUUUUACUGAAGACGGCAAUGAAGCGCGCACACACCGCCCGUCAUUCCCACCUUUAAAGUAGAACUUAAAUAACUAAAAAAUUAAUACGACACCAGGUGGGGUAAGUCGUAACAUGGUAAGUGUACCGGAAGGUGCCCUUGGGUAAACAA